UGGGAAAGAACUAGAAUGGGUGGGCAGUCAACUCAACCUCUCCUCGACUACCUCGCCAAUGCUGGCCAAGGCUGUCUGAAGCCACUGAAAGUGUUGACGACAGGGAUAGACUUGUAGAUGAUUAAUCAAGUCUGUGGACCAUUUGAAAGGUUCAGAGAUGGGUUGAAAACGAUUGGAGUCCUGGAGCACAUUCAGAAUCUUUCAGUCCAGUGAUGUGCGAAGAGAAGUUGGGGGACAUCCUAGCAUUUGGAUCUGAAUCUGAUGCAAUACCACCAGUCGGAUUUUCUCCUCUUUUCUCCUUUGGUUUGCGGUGACUAGCGUUCUGUGGCAUUUAUGUGAUUGCUGUGAACUUGUAUGUUCACUGUGUAUUGCAUGAUCCUUUGAGUUAGCAAAGGGCCUAGCAAAUCACUCUACCGCUUUCACCUGGACUGAUAACCUGGACAAUUAUUAACCAACUGAUCUACGGGAUUGAGGGGCAAAGAGGAAGCUGCUGACUUAUGGGAACACGGCAGGGACAACGAGACGGUGGCAGACGAAUCCAACGGGGCUGCAACGGAUGGAAGCAGACGAGAGCACGCCAUCACGCCAUCGUCACCGAGAGCCACAGUUGUUGGAUUAUUGAUACUCACAAUUCCUGAGCUAAGGGACGUUUGCUUAUUACCAUUUCCGGAUUGGAACAGAAGGAACUACACUGACAUCCAUUGGUACCACAAGAAGCCAACGUGGAUUAUAACUCAACCCUCACGAUAUGCAGCAUAAAGAAGUAAAUUGUCUACCCAAAUCUUAUUGCGUUGUAUAUUGGACCGAGUUGUAAUUACUCCUUCUGUUCUGGUAUAUGUGGCUGACUGUUCUGGGAGGCCGUGACUGACGUCACUGGGGGAUCCCAGGGAAGCCUUUCGUCGUGAGGGGGCAUUGGCCACAACGUCACACCAAACUCUACGGUCAACACCAAACAGAGCACGGCCGGAUUGACUGGACUUUCCUGGUGGAUGUUCAACUUAUUGGAAGACCA
ensembl:lncRNA